rnacentral:lncRNA from 1 species
GGGUUUCGGCGGGGCGCGGGACAGGGGGUGCCAGGCUCCGGGCCUGCGGGACCCCGGCAGGAGGUCGUCCUGCUCCCGCGACCCCGCCGAAGUUCCCGGGAAGCCCGAACAUCCCGCCCCCGGGAGCCCGGCGUAACGCAGCUCUCCGUGCUAGCCCUGGAGCCUGCAUCACUCCGCAAACCUCGGGCGCCCGGGCCCCACUCACAGGUUCAGGCUGGGGAAGUCCGGCUUCCUGGAGGGGUCAGCUCCCCUCCUCUGAGUAAGUGGCUCUCAGACACCCGCCCGAGUGUCAGCUCCUCUGACCCCAGCCCUGCGGGGGAGGGGAGCGGCAGGAACGCGGCCGACUGUGAUGCAACCGGGAGUUAGAAGGAUCCUGAUAGUAGGCUUACAGUGGCGGCUUCCAGAGUCAGCUGUGGGAGAGUACAGAAGCGCUGCCUGGGCGCUGGGGCGCUGGAGGAGCCCGGCAGAAGUCCAAGUCCUGUCAGUCGCGUCAGAGUCCUCACCGUUCGCCGUGUGGAAGGGCGGGCAUUGGAAGGCUGGAGAGGGACAUCCAAAGGCAACGGGCACAGGGGAGCUGCUCCAGAGAUGCAGAAGCCAGACUUCCUACUUCCCUUUUUAUUCCAUCCAGGCCAGAAGCCUAUUGGUUGGCGCCACCCACACCCAGAGUGGCUCUUCCCUGUACAGUAAGUUAUCACCCUGA